UUGGCUCAGGAUGAACGCUGGCGGCAGGCCUAACACAUGCAAGUCGAACGGUAACAGGAAGAAGCUUGCUUCUUUGCUGACGAGUGGCGGACGGGUGAGUAAUGUCUGGGAAACUGCCUGAUGGAGGGGGAUAACUACUGGAAACGGUAGCUAAUACCGCAUAACGUCGCAAGACCAAAGAGGGGGACCUUCGGGCCUCUUGCCAUCGGAUGUGCCCAGAUGGGAUUAGCUAGUAGGUGGGGUAACGGCUCACCUAGGCGACGAUCCCUAGCUGGUCUGAGAGGAUGACCAGCCACACUGGAACUGAGACACGGUCCAGAUUCCUACGGGAGGCAGCAGUGGGGAAUA
rnacentral:rRNA from 1 species